rnacentral:rRNA from 1 species
CACGUAGGGGGCAAGCAUUGUCCGGAUUUAUUGGGCGUAAAGAGCUCGUAGGUGGUUCGGUAAGUCGGGUGUGAAAACUCUGGGCUCAACUCAGAGACGCCACCCGAUACUGCUGUGACUUGAGUCUGGUAGGGGAGUGUGGAAUUCCCAGUGUAGCGGUGAAAUGCGCAGAUAUUGGGAGGAACACCAGUGGCGAAGGCGGCACUCUGGGCCAGUACUGACACUGAGGAGCGAAAGCGUGGGUAGCGAACAGG